ACUUCACUUCCACGAUCUUCAGUUCACUCCAGUGCAGUAAACUCCAACGCUCAACCCAGUUUGAAUGCAUCAGACACUCGACGCGUUCCUUUCGAGCCUCCAAGAAAUGGAAUAGUUCCAUCAACUUCAGCAUAUUCAACUAAACCUUUAGGGCCUCCACCAAGAGUACCAUCAGGUAGACCAGGCCGUGUUGUGGAAUCA